GAUGAACGCUGGCGGCGUGCCUAAUACAUGCAAGUCGAGCGAACAGACGAGGAGCUUGCUCCUCUGACGUUAGCGGCGGACGGGUGAGUAACACGUGGAUAACCUACCUAUAAGACUGGGAUAACUUCGGGAAACCGGAGCUAAUACCGGAUAAUAUAUUGAACCGCAUUGUUCAAUAGUUAAAGACGGUUUUGCUGUCACUUAUAGAUGGAUCCGCGCCGCAUUAGCUAAUUGUUAAGGUAACGGCUUACCAUGGCAACGAUGCGUAGCCGACCUGAGAGGGUGAUCCGCCACACUGUAACUGAGAGACGGACCAGAAUACUACGGGAGGCAGCAGUAGGGAAUCUUACGCAAUGGGCGAAAGCAUGACGGAGCAACGCCGCGUGAGUGAUGAAGGUCUUCGGAUCGUAAAACUCUGUUAUUAGGGAAGAACAAAUGUGUAAGUAACUAUGCACGUCUUGACGGUACCUAAUCAGAAAGACACGGCUAACUACGUG
rnacentral:rRNA from 1 species